rnacentral:lncRNA from 1 species
GCCGACGAGCGGGGGAAGCGGAGGCUUCGCGGGCCAGCGGAAAGGUGGAGCGGGCCGAAGGAGCUGCUGCGCAGCUGGGCUGCAAGAGAAAGAGGCGCGGGUGAUGCUGGGCCGCAAGAAGAAAAGAAAGGGGAGGAAAGGAAGGAUGCGGCCCAGGAGAGUAAAAGGGAAAAGAAAAGAGAGGGAAAAAGGAAAAAGGUUUUGGGAAAUUGAAUUUAAAUUUA